AACGAACGCUGGCGGCAGGCCUAACACAUGCAAGUCGAACGCCCCGCAAGGGGAGUGGCAGACGGGUGAGUAACGCGUGGGAAUCUACCCAGAUCUUCGGAACAACUGAGGGAAACUUCAGCUAAUACCGGAUACGCCCUACGGGGGAAAGAUUUAUCGGUUCUGGAUGAGCCCGCGUUGGAUUAGCUAGUUGGUGGGGUAAUGGCCUACCAAGGCGACGAUCCAUAGCUGGUCUGAGAGGAUGAUCAGCCACACUGGGACUGAGACACGGCCCAGACUCCUACGGGAGGCAGCAGUGGGGAAUAUUGGACAAUGGGCGAAAGCCUGAUCCAGCCAUGCCGCGUGAGUGAUGAAGGCCUUAGGGUUGUAAAGCUCUUUCAGUGGGGAAGAUAAUGACGGUACCCACAGAAGAAGCCCCGGCUAACUUCGUGCCAGCCGCCGCUGUAACAC
rnacentral:rRNA from 1 species